CGAUGCGAUCAUAGCAGCACUAAAGCACCGGAUCCCAUCAGAACUCCGAAGUUAAGCGUGCUUGGGCGAGAGUAGUACUAGGAUGGGUGACCUCCUGGGAAGUCCUCGUGUUGCAUUCC
rnacentral:rRNA from 1 species